GGUCAUAAAUUUAAGACAUGUAGUUCUUAGAUUUAAAUUUGAUAGUGGUUGAAAAAAUUUGACAAUAGUUCACAUUCUUAAAAGUCAAGGAAAAUAAAAACAUAACCGCAUUAUGGGUUGAAUUUUCCCCCAAAAUAUAUGUUGAAGUCCUAAUGCCUACACCUGAGAAUACAGCCUUACUUGGAAACAGGGUCUUUGCAGAUAUAAUUAAGUUAAGAUGAGGUCACACUGGAGAAGGGUGGGCCCUUAAUCAUAUUAGAGAAGACACAGAAACAGAGACAUGGGGAGUAACACCAUGUGAAGACAGAGGUGGAGAUCGGAGGGGUGCAUGUACCAACCAAAAGGAAUAUCAAGGGCUGGCAGCAGCACUAGAGCAAGCGAAAGGCAUGAAACAGAUUCUCCCCUAGAGCUGUAAGAGGCAGUGUGGCCCUGGCAACACCUUGCUUUAGGACUUCUAACCUCUAGAAUAAUGAGAUAAUGAGAGAGUAUAUUUCUGUUAGUUUCGGCCAUGCGGUUUGUGGUAACUGGUUCCAGCAGCCCUAGGAAUCUAAUACACUGCCCAUGAAACAAAUCCUUUCUUGACCACCAAUGGCUGCACGACUUAUCCUGAGAAGAUCAUGGGGAUUUUGGAUGCCAGGUCAACCCUUACACUCAGCAAGGAAGUGGAAGGGCCUCAGUUUCAAACACUUUGUAAACACAGAGGUUAGGUCAUUUCCUCUCCAAUAAGCCAGAAGCUGAGCUGUCCCUGGCAGCAAACUCUGUGUCAAAUGCCUGGCGGGUUUCAGGUUUUACUAACUCCAGAGUGACGAAACAUCACCACCUCUAAUGCCAGAAAGAAGUCAGCUGUUGUACCUGUGUCACAACUAAAUUUACUGAAGUCAGGGCAGCUGAAGUAAUCUAUAAAACUUAGCAUGUCAAUUUCAA
rnacentral:antisense_RNA from 1 species